UUAUUUCAGUCUUAAGACUUGAGUCGUGGAUUUCGUAAGUUAACUUGAGUUGACAUAAAUUGGUUUUUUUUUUAUCAUUUUUAAUUAAUUUUUUUUCAAUUUUAUCUUUUAACAUUGAGUUAAUUGAGAAUUGAGCAUCAUAACUUGUUUUGGUUUUUUUUUAUAGGGUUAUCACAGUCUCAUAAUUCGGUUCACAGAUUUAGCAGAUUAACUUG
rnacentral:lncRNA from 1 species